AGUGAACGCUGGCGGUAGGCCUAACACAUGCAAGUCGAACGGCAGCACAGUAAGAGCUUGCUCUUACGGGUGGCGAGUGGCGGACGGGUGAGGAAUACAUCGGAAUCUACUUUUUCGUGGGGGAUAACGUAGGGAAACUUACGCUAAUACAGCAUACGACCUACGGGUGAAAGCAGGGGAUCUUCGCACCUUGCGCGAUUCAAUGAGCCGAUGUCGGAUUAGCUAGUUGGCAGGGUAAAGGCCCACCAAGGCGACGAUCCGUAGCUGGUCUGAGAGGAUGAUCAGCCACACUGGAACUGAGACACGGUCCAGACUCCUACGGGAGGCAGCAGUGGGGAAUAUUGGACAAUGGGCGCAAGCCUGAUCCAGCCAUACCGCGUGGGUGAAGAAGGCCUUCGGGUUGUAAAGCCCUUUUGUUGGGAAAGAAAAGCAGCAGGUUAAUACCCCGCUGUUCUGACGGUACCCAAAGAAUAAGCACCGGCUAACUUCGUG
rnacentral:rRNA from 1 species